rnacentral:rRNA from 1 species
AGAGAGAGACAUGCGCGCAUAUCAAUAAGCGGAGGAAAAGAAACUAACAAGGAUUCCCCUAGUAACGGCGAGUGAAGCGGGAAGAGCUCAAAUUUGAAAUCUUAAAGGGUUUCCCUUUACGAAUUGUAGUUUAAAGAAGUGUUUUCUGUUGAGGUUUUGGUAAAAGUUCUUUGGAAUAGGACAUCAUAGAGGGUGAGAAUCCCGUAUUUGACCUUUACUUUCAACUUUGUGAUACACUUUCAAAGAGUCGGAUUGUUUGGGAAUGCAGUCCAAAAUGGGUGGUAAAUUUCAUCUAAAGCUAAAUAUUGGCGAGAGACCGAUAGCGAACAAGUACCGUGAGGGAAAGAUGAAGAGAACUUUGAAAAGAGAGUUAAACAGUACGUGAAAUUGUCAAAAGGGAAGCGUUUGACACCAGUGUUGUUUUUCUGAAAAUCAAUUAAAGAACUGUUUAUGCUAAGCUGUUUAGACUUUAUCAGCUAAUCUGUUUAGUUUUGAGCUUUUCUUUAAUGCACUUUUCAGUUAACAAGUCAACAUCAAUUUCUUUUGCUGUAAAAAAGCUUGAGGAAGGUGGCUUGAGAUUCGUCUUAAGUGUUUAUAGCCUCUUGCCUAUGCAGUCGGAGAGAUUGAGGUCUGCAGCGUAGAUCCUUCGGGGCUAAAUGCAUUUGUGCUAAGUUAUAGCAUUUUAUAGAGCAACUUGUUGACUAUGAUUUGUCUUGUAGCUUACUCGCUUAUGUUAUUUUACCUACGCUUAGGAUGUUGACGCAUGAGAUAUACGC